CUCCUGUGCCUACUGAGCUGAAACGCAGUUGCUUUGCUUAAACUGGCUCAGUUCAGCAGGAACAGGAG
rnacentral:pre_miRNA from 13 species